AUGAUCCUGUGGCUAAACCUGGUGUCCUUAGUAGUAGUCCUCAGAGGUGUCCAGUCUGAGGUCCAGUUGGUGGAGUCUGGAGGGGACGUGAGAAGGCCUGGAGAGUCCCUCCGCCUCUCCUGCCAAGCCUCUGGCUUCGACUUCAGCAGCCAUUGGAUGAGUUGGGUGAGACAGGCUCCAGGAAAAGGACUCGAAUGGGUGGCACUCAUAUGGCCAAAUUCUGGUACUCACUACUCUGCCAAAGUCAAGGGACGCUUCACCAUCUCCAGGGACAACUCCAAAAGCCAAGUCUAUCUGCAAAUGAACAGUCUGAAGCCGGAGGACACAGCAGUCUAUUACUGUGCAGGAGACACAGUGAGAGGAAGUGAGUCUGAAGCCUGGCAAGAACCUUCCCUUGGUCAGAGCUACUAUGCAAAGGAAGCUGAUAGUUCCACUCCCAAUUCCACUUUUCUCUCUUCAUCCUUCUUCAAGACUGGGCGCUAUGUGCACGGCUGUGUGCUGCUCCAUCUUUCUGGGGGCCAUGUGAAGAAUCUUCCUGGGGAGUUUGAUGACGCCCUCUUCCUCAUCACUUCCACAAGGGAGCAGCACUUGCACCCUUAG